UACGAAGGGUGCAAGCGUUAAUCGGAAUUACUGGGCGUAAAGGGCUCGCAGGCGGCCGACUAAGUCAGACGUGAAAUCCCUUGGCUUAACCAAGGAAUGGCGUCUGAUACUGGACGGCUUGAAUCCGGGAGAGGGAUGUGGAAUUCCAGGUGUAGCGGUGAAAUGCGUAGAUAUCUGGAGGAACACCGGUGGCGAAGGCGGCAUCCUGGACCGGUAUUGACGCUGAGGAGCGAAAGCCAGGGGAGCAAACGGG
rnacentral:rRNA from 1 species